AAAAGACAGACACACCAAUGAACACAUCUUAUAUAUUGCAUUAAUCAGCUGUCUGGUCUUCCCGAAAGUCCUUCACUGUUCUGCUGGUGUAGCACACAGGGGUCCAAUGAGAGCUCCACUGGAAGAGGUGACCUUUUUGGCGGAAUAAGAUAGAGAGAGAAGAGGAGAGGGGAAUCAGGGAGAAUGGGGGACAAGGACAAAGAGCAGAGGAAUGCAUUUCCCAUAGCCUAGCUGACCUCUCAAGAGGACUGACUCUGAAUAAUUACAGUCCUGCUCACCUGCUUCCAGAAGGGGCAUGAGCAGACUAGGGAUGUCAGGAGAACCGAUACUUCGGUACCAAUUCGGUACCAACAUUCUUAAAACGUGACAGUACUUGUUUUUCUGCACUAACGUUGGAACCGAUUCUAAUAGAGGUACCAAGAUUACAAUUCUUCCGGACCUGAUCCAGGCAGCAAAUACGCGCAAGUGUUUUCGUCGGUCCACAAGUGGCAAAGAAGAAGAAGAACGCCCACAAGCACACGAUGGUGGAAAAAUGUAUGCAGACACAGAGAGCACUCUCCAGGAACUCCAGAAAAUCCACACAGACAGUAACCUGAGCUCAAUAUCAAACCCAGAACCCUGGAGUUUGAAGCAGUGUGAAGCAGUAAUGCUACCCACUACACCACUGUGCCACCCCACCACAUAGUAUAUAUAAGUUUAGACAUUAAUAGUUCACAAAUCUACAAAAUUAUAUCAAAGUAUUUUCAUUUCUUAAUUGCAUCUUAAUCUCUCAACGUGAUAUUAAUAUUCUUUAAUAAGAUGUAUGCUCACCAUUUCCCUUUGUCUAUUUGUGUGUUCUCUAAACAUAUUUAGGUUUCUUUGAGUUGCAAGUCAUUCCCCCAAUUUACCUGACAUACAAAAUCUAUCACAACAAUGUCAUAGACAGCCUUUUUCCAAUCUGAGUGAGAGGAUCAUGGGUCGCAAGGAAGCCUGGAGUCUACCCCUGGGAACACGCAGGGCACAUGCACACCCCCAUUCACACACUAUAGACAAUUUGGAAAUGUCAAACAGCUUACCCCCAUGUCUGGGGGAGGAAAGUGGACUACCCGGAG
ensembl:lncRNA